GCUCAAGUUGACAGUGAAGGACUUAAAUAUGGCCAAACGCGCUACAUCCACAUUCCCUUCUGGUGUUAAUGACUCAAACCUGCAAUUCCCGACCUCUCAAAGCUUCUCCAGAACUGCUAAGUGAUCUGAACCUUUGUUGAAGUCCUUCAGUUUCCACAUUCAGUGUCUGCAAUGAAAAAGCUGAAAGAUUUGGAACUGAAUGUAUGAAAAGAGAACUCUGGAGCAUAUUUCACAAUGAAAUGUCAAUUUUCCACCAACCAGAGGUGACUUUGGAAAUCUCCAAACUAAGCUACUGUGAAGGUCAAAGACAUGUGAUCAAUGACAGUGCCCACCGCACUUUGUCUCCCUCUCCUGAUAUUUCAAACCCGAGAGAAUGCUGAAGAACGCUCUUUUCUACCAACCUCCACAACCUCUUCUUUCCCUUUUAAAAGUGAACCAAUGCAGUUCCAGAUAGCGAGAUAGAUAGAUAGAUAGAUAGAUAUAGCUGGAUAGGAUAUAUAGGAUGAAUGUAUACAUAUGUAGAUAAACAGUCAAUAAUCAUAAUGCAUAAUAGCAUAAUGGCUUACUAAAACUAAUUUAUUAUUAUUAUUAUUACUUGCAUAUUAAAGUGAAUCUACUUUUCACAUCUGUUUUACAUUAUUGUGAAAAGGCCAUGUCAAAAAUAAUAUAUUGUACUUUUUACCCCAAAAUAACAAAUUAUAGUUAUAAUAAUAAUGAUGAUAAUAAUAAUAACAAUACAUUAUUAUUAUUAUUAUUAUUAUGUGGGGUUUUAUUAAGGAUAAUAUAUAAUUUUUUGGCCAUGGCUGAAAUUUUUCUUGCAAUUUUGAAAAGGAAAUUUACAGCAUGUACAGACUACAGAGCAUCUUUCCUAUCAUCUCGUCACAUCUGCUCUGUGCUGAUCGACAGGAAUUACUUCUUAAUUGCUCAAGGCCAAAGAAGUGUUUUCAAGCAAUUACAAAGAAUCCUUGCCAUUGUCAUCAUUACCAGGAAACCUCGCUGGUCCAUAUUGUGCAGCUAAUGAUUUUGGACUUGUGGUUUAUAAUCUAGAAUGGAAUUUCUCUUUUGUGGCCUUUGAGGGAUUGUCAACUUGACCAUGAGUGGCUGUUAAGUGUUUAUCUUCUCUCCAGCUCUUCGUAAUUAAGAGCUAGGAAAUCGGAAUUUAUCUACAGCAGCUGUGCGCUCCCACUGAAGGUCAUUACAAUAACCCAUUUAAACGACAUUCCCUCACGUGCCAUUUUAUCGGCCUUGUGACACACAGGAGCCACUUUGCUAAGUCAAUCAUCCACACCGCACAAUGCUCGAGCGGAUACUUAACACAUACUUCAACUGACACGUUGUCAGCACAGCGUCUCAGUGACAGCAAGCAUGCAUUCUCUCUACUGGACCAUGAAGAAUAUUUUGCAUUGCUGGAAUUCUACAGAUGCCUAUAACAUAUCUUGUCCUGUAAGUUCAUUAACUUUUAAUCAGAGUUCUAAACGUGCCGGAGAUUAUCCUGAUAGAUUUCAAAGGGAGCAUGUGAGAUGGCAAUGCAUCUGUCAGUGCUUGUCAUCCCCGUCGAAACGGGCGUCCUUGGGCAGAUGGACAUGUGGCUCUUCUGUGUGACUAAUUAACAUUUCCCUUGGUGCUUUGUCUGCCACUGCUGCACAAUAAUUAUGCACAACCUACAAUCAGGUGCGAAAUCCCAGUCACAAUGGACCUGGGUGUGUGUAUUUGUACCAACAUCAGGCUAAAUCAAUGAAUUACUGUGUCAAAGAUGAAAUCAGCCAGAUUGGGUGGUUGAUGCAAACAUAACCCCUGCUUGGAAAAAUGAUCUCUCAAAAACUAAGCCACAUUCUUACAUCUUAUAUUACCUCUUCCUGCUCAUGGCUAAGCGCACAGCCUAAAAGAACAGGCAAAUCACAUUACAUCCUGUUCUCUUAAAGCACAUUAAUGCUGAGCCUUGACACGUGGCAAGAAUACCCCUAUUCAUUCACCAUAACAGCAAAUCAAGGCAUCAUCUUGCAUUUCCCUUUCAUUUUUUGAUGUAAUUAUUUUAUGGCAGCCUUAAUGAGGCCCUAUCAUUUAUCUCUGAAAGCUGUAAUCAAGUCUCAAAUGCUAAAUUACAGCUAUUUUACUGACCGGCGUUCAGCAAUAAUAUAGCAAAUGUCUGAAAACAGUCCUGAAAUGUAUUCUGGGGGAAAAGACUGUACUACAUAUGAUGUAUGCUUGAGAUAUCCACGGUGAUGUGGAUUUAACCAUGCAUAUGAUACUGUGGUGAAUGCAUUGUGCACAACAGCGUCAGAGGGUAAGACUCUGAAAGCAUAUAUUAUGUCCCCACCUCUGUAUUAUACAGUAACCUUUAAAAAUGCAUGCAUCUUAGAAGGAAGAUGAACUUGCUUUGAAGAACAUCUGGACUUUAUUGCACUGAAUGAGGCAAUUUAUCAUUUCGGUUUUAUACAAAUGCACACUAAGUGUCAAUUUUUGAGCCCGGUCUCAUGAAGAUGUGUAUAAAUGGUACACCAGAUUAAAAUGAAAACUCGUGGUACUGAUACGCAAAAAUGAAUUUUGGCCUUCAUAUGAUACGCACGUGUUUGUCGUGCAUAUAAUACGCAGUUUUCGCGUGCAUAUGAUACGAAAUUUGUUGGCGUGCAUAUGAUACGCAGAUUUCGCGUGCAUAUGAUACGAAAUUUGUUGGCGUGCAUAUGAUACGCAGAUUUCGCGUACAUAUGAUACGCAUCUACCCCAAAACCCUAAUCCUAACCAUCGCGUAGCAUAUACACGCCAAAUUCCAUUUUUGCGUAUCAAGACCAUGAGUUUUCGUUUUUAUUUGGCGUACUAUUUACACACACGAGCCAAAUUUUACAUCAGUUUUAGCUUGUGUAUAUAGUUUUUCCUUUUCACUUUUUGUUAAAAAUUAAGCAAAUUAUGAGAAGCAAAAUUUGUAAGAGCUCAUAUCUCGAAUUAAGUUUAUUCUCUUUAAGUUUAAUUUUUAGGUUUUUCCACAAAAAAGUUUCUUAGAUUUUUUUUCUUAGAACUAACUUUAAAAAAUACCUCUAAAGCAUCUAUUAAUCUGAGUUAAUGUUAAUUUCAGCCUGUAGAAUACAUUAUUUAAAAUAAAAGUUGUAUCUGUUAAUAUUAUUUAAUGGACCUGAGCUAAUAUGAACAGUUAUACUAACUAACGUUAACAAAGCUAAAUAAAUGCUGUUACAUGAACUAACAUUGAGCAAUAUUAUUGUUUAUUAAUGCUAAUUAUUAAGUAAAUAAAUAAUGGGGUGUUGUUUUAGACCCCAGUGACUUUCACUGUAUGUAUUAAAAAACUGUUGAAACAUUCUUCAAAAUAUCUUAUUUUAUGUUCAAGAAAGUCAUACCGGUUUGGAACAACAUGAAGGUGAGUAAAUGAUGACAGAAUGUUCAUUUUUGUGCAAACUAUUCCUAUAUAUUCUCUUUAAACAAAAGAGUAAUAUACUGUAAUAUGCUUUUAAAUUUCAAAUAAAUUUAGUUUUAAAGACUCAGGAAUUAAGACUGAUUAAGAAAAUAAUUUAUUGCAGUACUGCAGUUUUACUGCACCACCAAAAACAAACAACAACAACAACAACAACAACAAAACAUUAGAUGAUCACAGGCUCUUUACAGCUGGACCAUUUCACAGCAGUGGCUCUCUUCUAUGCAUCUUUAAUGUUAUGCUAUAAACAAAAAAAAUAUAAAUGGCAAACUCAAAGCAAAGGCGUAACUAAUUGACCAGCAUUUACUAAAUGAAAAGAUCACUGUUACAGCAUACUGCUGUGAAAGAGUAGCGAUUAACGUGUGCAUUAAACAGAUUUGUUUUAAGAGCAGAGGCUUAAGGUUGUUGAGUUUGACUAUCUCAGAGACUAAAGGUGACUAGAGAUUACCUGAGUGACCCAGGCCAAAGUGACACAUGCCCAAUUAACUUUAAUCUCUCUAGUGCUGUGUGUGUCUGAGCACGUGAGUGAUGGGGCGGCGUUCUAAUAUAUGUAACUACACAGUAAAAUCAGCAAUAUUUACAGUAUUAAAAGUUAUUAAUUCCCAAAGAGUUACAUUAACAAUCUACAGUGUUAAACAGUACUCAUGUUCAGUGUUGUUACAUGGUGUAAUAUUUAUGUAAUUUCACUUUUACACUGAAAGUGUAAAAAAAAGAAAAAACCCAGCCGAAUUAUCUGACUCCGCCCUUCAAGGACUGCUGCCUCGCAAAGCGAAGACGACAUUUUAUCUUCAUGCGACCGAGACGGUAAGUUGGAUUGCUUUUAUCUUUAUAAAAUUACACAGGAGAAAUCAUUUUUAUAUAUUUUCAAAUAAUAAGGUAAUAAUAAUAAUAAGGUGAUUUUACAUUCCACAUUUUUGGAAUGUGUUUACAAUUUAUGUUAUAUAUAUAUAUAUAUAUAUAUAUAUACUUUUAGCUUCUUUCAUUUUGGUUCAUUGACAGAUCCUCUCGCCUUCAUACCCGGCGAGGCCUGGUUUUACAACGAGUCUGGCACUGAACUGAAGCAGCCACAUUUGGGCGGUUUUCUAUUCAGAGGAGAUAAUUCAUCAAAUGGCACUAACAAGAAGAACACCUUGAUUGCAUAGAAGAGACCACACAGUCAUACCUGCUUGCUGAUGGGACAAUGAGGAACAGCAUUCAUGGAUGCUACACAACUGUCGACAUGUAUCUUAUUGCAAUCUUGUUCAAAUCUUGUUAAUGUCUAGGUUUUGAUGAUUUUAUGUGUUUUAUUAACUAUUUUAUGUUUCUAUGCGACACUUAAUGAAUGUGACUGACUAAUUAACCCCUACACAUCUGGUAUAUGCUUUAUAUGCUGGUAUAUGCUGGUAGUUGCCAU